rnacentral:lncRNA from 10 species
CUUCCAGAUGAACCUUCUUGCUGUGAUUCAUAAACAUGGCUGUACCUCUAAAUAGACUGGGACUUCCUUUUGCUCUAUCCCCAUUUCCUAAAGAAGAAACCUGAUCCUUGGAAAUGUUCAGUGGCUGCCCCAAGAUGUCGGCACAACCUCUUGUGCUCUUGCCUCCUGCCACAAGAACAUAUGUCCCAGAAAAGGGCCACUCCAUCAGCCUAGGUCCAGAAAUGAGAGGACACAUGGACUGAACUUGAAGAUGGCCCACAGCAGACCUGCAGUCAACUCUCAGCCUUUAUGUAAUGCGGGAAAGAAGGAAAUGUGAAUAUUAUAGACUACUAAAAUUCUAAAGUUGUAACAUAGCAAAAUGAUCGAUACAAUUAGCAGUGGCAAUCAGUCUAGCAUAUUGUCAUGCUAUAUGCAUGCUAUAAAACUAUUGAA